AGCGAACGCUGGCGGCAGGCUUAACACAUGCAAGUCGAGCGGGCAUCUUCGGAUGUCAGCGGCAGACGGGUGAGUAACACGUGGGAACGUACCCUUCGGUUCGGAACAACUCUGGGAAACUGGAGCUAAUACCGGAUACGCCCUUAUGGGGAAAGGUUUACUGCCGCAGGAUCGGACCGCGUCUGAUUAGCUAGUUGGUGGGGUAACGGCCUACCAAGGCGACGAUCAGUAGCUGGUCUGAGAGGAUGAUCAGCCACACUGGGACUGAGACGCGGUCCGGAAUCCUACGGGAUGCAGCAGUGGUGAAUAUAGGACAAUGGACGCAAGCCUGAUCCAGCCAGGCCGGUUAAGUGAUGAAGGCCUUAGGGUUGUAAAGCUCUUUUGUCCGGGACGAUAGUGACGGUACCGGAAGAAUAAGCCCCGGCUAACUUCGUG
rnacentral:rRNA from 1 species